rnacentral:rRNA from 1 species
CACGUGAGUAAUCUGCCCUUCACUUGGGGAUAACGUCCAGAAAUGGGUGCUAAUACCCGGUAUUCCUAUUCUCACGCAUGUGGUGGUGGGGAAAGGUUUUUCUGGUGGGGAGUGUGCUCGCGGCCUAUCAGCUUGUUGGUGGGGUAAUGGCCUACCAAGGCUUUGACGGGUAGCCGGCCUGAGAGGGUGACCGGCCACACUGGGACUGAGACACGGCCCAGACUCCUACGGGAGGCAGCAGUGGGGAAUAUUGGACAAUGGGCGGAAGCCUGAUCCAGCAACGCCGCGUGAGGGAUGACG